rnacentral:rRNA from 1 species
GAUGAACGCUGGCGGCAUGCCUAAGACAUGCAAGUCGUACGAAGUAGCCCAUUGAAGUUUGAGUGCUUGCACAAAGAUGGAUUUGGAUUUCUACUUAGUGGCGGACGGGUGAGUAACACGUGGGUAAUCUACCUAUAAGAUUGGAAUAACACAGGGAAACUUGUGCUAAUACUGAAUAUCAAAUAGAAAUGAUUUUUCUAUUUCGAAAGGUGCCUUUAAAGCACCGCUUAUUGAUGAGCCUGCGUCGUAUUAGCUAGUUGGUGGGGUAAUGGCCUACCAAGGCAACGAUGCGUAGCCGAACUGAGAGGUUGAUCGGCCACACUGGGACUGAGACACGGCCCAGACUCCUACGGGAGACAGCAGUUAGGAAUAUUCGUCAAUGGGGGAAACCCUGAACGAGCAAUGCCGCGUGAGUGAUGAAGGUCCUUUGGAUCGUAAAGCUCUGUUACAUGGGAAGAACGACUAGACUAGGAAAUGAGUCUAGUGUGACGGUACCAUGUCAGAAAGCCCCGACUAACUACGUGCCAGCAGUCGCGGUAAUACGUAG